rnacentral:ncRNA from 1 species
GGUUAGUUUUCCCUACUGAUGAAGUGUUGUUGCAAUAGUAAUUCUGCUCAGUACGAGAGGAACCGCAGAUUCAGACAAUUGGCAUUUGCACUUGGCUGAAAAGCCAAUGGUGCGAAGCUACCAUCUGUUGGAUUAUGACUGAACGCCUCUAAGUCAGAAUCCUUGCUAGAACGCAACGAUAAUUACCUCCGGAGAAUCUUAGGCGAACAAGGAUAGAGAACGGGCUUGCCCGCUCUCCUGCGUCCCAAUGUGCCAAGAGGGAAAACAACCCUCAAGGCACUAAAGUAUAUCAAAGUUUAAAAUUUCUGGAGAUAAAUCCUUUGCAGACGACUUAAAUAAAGAACGGGGUAUUGUACGUUGUAGAGUAGCCUUGUUGCUACGAUCUUCUGAGAUUAAGCCUUUGUUCUACGAUUUGU